rnacentral:lncRNA from 13 species
ACCAUCUAAACACACGCUCCUCAUUCCUGCUCCUGCAGUACUGCAGGUUCUUGUCCCAAACUCCGCAGUGAAACACCUGACUUAGCUCCUCAACCACAAAAUACCUCUUCAGAUCCAAAUAUAUCCAAAAGGGCUAGGGGCUAGGAGGUAGAGGAAAGCCAGUUGUUUCUGGCCCAUACCCCGGUAACACACAUGGAAGUUCCAUCAUGGCGCACAGGGAAUCCCCUGCUAUCAGUAGCACUGAUUCGUCCCUGCCUCUCACUGACUGGGCCUGAGUCAUGCAGCUGCAGAGCCAAACUAAACUUUAUAUGAGCUCAUAGAAAAUGGUUCCCUGCAGCAAUGGGAUAGUUUACUGGUUGGUGUCUUCAUUUAUUCUCUGUUCGUGCGGUCGCCAGAACUGCAAAUUUUAUGAAUGUGACCUGUUUGAGUGAAAUGUCACAUUUCCAUGGACCAUAAUCUUUGACCUAUGCAAACUUAUGAUCAAUAAAACCCUGUUGUUUUUUUCUCAAUACAAACUGUCCCUACUGACAGCUUGUUGGUCUAUAGCGGCAUGUGUGUUCACCUCUGUCUGAGGUGAACUAGUCUGCUAGGCUGAGAGGGAGGCUACUGCUGAUGCUGAUGCUGUUGCCGCAGUGAUAUGAAUGCCCUUGUGGUUCUCUCUCCUGGCGUCCUGGCUCGGCUCCAGUGUCUGCUCCGUGGUCACGCCCUCCAUGCUGCCUGCCCCGAUGUGGCUGUACGUUGUCCAGGCUGCAGCAUAACUGGAUCUCGCUGGACCUCCUCUCUCCUGUCCGUGCACACCUCUCCAACACCGGUGCACGCGUGGUGAUGCUGCAGACAACAGGAUUAUCUGAUUAACGGUGCAGAGUAGGACAUAUAUUUUUCUUCUUCUCGGGAAAUAAAACACACCGCUGGCCGCUGGCAAUUUACCCCAUUAUAUCAGGUGACAAAUGGGAACAGCAACUAACACCCAGUUUUGAACAAGGUGACUGCUGGUAUGUAUGGUUUUUAAUAUGUCUGUUUGUUUUGCUAUAGGCUACAUCACGUUCAUUUAGUAAAGUAUAAUCGAUCUCUGCAGUAAAGGGGACACAGUAACGUUAGAUGACCAUUGAACAAAACAGCUAUUUGAUGCUCAGUAUUUAUCAAUUGAAUAGUGUUUCUGGGAUACUUCGGGAUUUUGGCAAUGAAGCCAUGAAUCUAUUUCCCCAGAGCCAGAUUAACUCCUGGUACCAUUUUUCUAU